UUUAAAAUGAACGAGCAGAGAAGUUUGACAAAGAGCAGACUGAAUGGAGGACUUGGCGUGGACACAGCUCACAGAGUUACUCAUACAGACUUCAUUGAUGCCCGAGACAGUCCAGUGGUUGAGGACACCGACCGCCAACAACGAGACGUAGCUUCAAUGCAGGCUCAAACCCUGCCCGAGGAAGGACUAGACAAAAUGAGAAACAGCCCCUGCUCCCUGUAAAACUCCACUAAUGGAGAUGAUGCCAGCAAACUGGCUCCAGUACAGCUGCCGUCAAACCAG